rnacentral:rRNA from 1 species
UACAGAGGGUGCGAGCGUUAAUCGGAAUUACUGGGCGUAAAGCGUGCGUAGACGGUUAUUUAAGUCGGGUGUGAAAGCCCCGGGCUCAACCUGGGAAUUGCAUUCGAGACUGAAUAGCUAGGGUACGGUAGAGGGAAGCGGAAUUUCCGGUGUAGCGGUGAAAUGCGUAGAUAUCGGAAGGAACAUCAGUGGCGAAAGCGGCUUCCUGGACCAGUACCGACGUUCAGGCACGAAAGCGUGGGUAGCAAACAGG